rnacentral:rRNA from 1 species
UACGUAGGGGGCAAGCGUUGUCCGGAUUCAUUGGGCGUAAAGAGCGUGUAGGCGGCCUGGUAGGUCAGCUGUGAAAACUCGAGGCUCAACCUCGAGACGUCGGUUGAAACCACCUGGCUAGAGUCCGGAAGAGGAGAGUGGAAUUCCCGGUGUAGCGGUGAAAUGCGCAGAUAUCGGGAAGAACACCCGUGGCGAAGGCGGCUCUCUGGGACGGUACUGACGCUGAGACGCGAAAGCGUGGGGAGCGAACAGG